rnacentral:rRNA from 1 species
AAAGCGAGCGGCGGAUGGGUGAGUAACACGUGGGGAACCUGCCCCUAAGUCUGGGAUACCAUUUGGAAACAGGUGCUAAUACCGGAUAAUAAAGCAGAUCGCAUGAUCAGCUUUUGAAAGGCGGCGUAAGCUGUCGCUAAGGGAUGGCCCCGCGGUGCAUUAGCUAGUUGGUAAGGUAACGGCUUACCAAGGCGACGAUGCAUAGCCGAGUUGAGAGACUGAUCGGCCACAUUGGGACUGAGACACGGCCCAAACUCCUACGGGAGGCAGCAGUAGGGAAUCUUCCACAAUGGACGCAAGUCUGAUGGAGCAACGCCGCGUGAGUGAAGAAGGUUUUCGGAUCGUAAAGCUCUGUUGUUGGUGAAGAAGGAUAGAGGUAGUAACUGGCCUUUAUUUGACGGUAAUCAACCAGAAAGUCACGGCUAACUACGUGCCAGCAGCCGCGGUAAUACGUAGGUGGCAAGCGUUGUCCGGAUUUAUUGGGCGUAAAGCGAGCGCAGGCGGAAAAAUAAGUCUAAUGUGAAAGCCCUCGGCUUAACCGAGGAACUGCAUCGGAAACUGUUUUUCUUGAGUGCAGAAGAGGAGAGUGGAACUCCAUGUGUAGCGGUGGAAUGCGUAGAUAUAUGGAAGAACACCAGUGGCGAAGGCGGCUCUCUGGUCUGCAACUGACGCUGAGGCUCGAAAGCAUGGGUAGCGAACAGGAUUAGAUACCCUGGUAGUCCAUGCCGUAAACGAUGAGUGCUAAGUGUUGGGGAGGUUUCCGCCUCUCAGUGCUGCAGCUAACGCAUUAAGCACUCCGCCUGGGGGAGUACGACCGCAAGGUUGAAACU